rnacentral:tRNA from 1 species
CCUGGUGUCUUAGUCGGUAAAGGAUCUGCCUCCAAUGCAGGAGACCAGGGUCCGAUCCCUGGGCCAGGA